CGGAAUAUGGUUCAGAGACAGGCGGGGAGCAGCUUGAGUCUUGCCUUAGCGUCGUGGCGUUAGCAGGACUGGUUUACAUUGCGGGGGGGAAGUUGUGUUAAUAGGGGCUGAGAGGUGCGGCGCGUCCCGGCUUAGCGUGAUGCGUGGCAGGAUGUCGUGGAUGCGUGGCGGCUUAGCAAAGAUAUGCUAAAGCUGCCAGCCGUGAUGCCGAGCAGAUCUCCAACAAGUAGUUCUUCAUGUUCACUCUGUUUUUUCAUCCAGUAAUGAUCAUCAUCCUACAUUCACCCUGUUGGAGGUAGGUGAAGGGAACACGACCUGAGAAAUGUCUACUUUAUUCCUGACUAGUCUCGCAGUAGCUUUUUCAGAGGACUGUGCCUGCCCUCUUCACCACCUACAUCCAAUUUCUCACAAUGUCAUCACCUUUCUCUGCCGUCCAGUCCAGUAAUGUUUCUCUUCUUUCACUGUGUUGUCCUGUCCAGUAUUGCUCGUGCGAAUGUCAGAAGUCUCCGCAUGUUGGUCAGUUGGCUUUUGUAGUCACUGUUUUCUUUUGUUUUUAUAUGCAUCUGAAGUUGUCUUGCCUUGUUCUUUCUUGUUUUGUCUUCGUGAUGUUGCUCUUCUUUCUCUUUCGUUGUUCAGUUCAGUUUGUGGGAAUGUCAAAAGUCGCUGUGUGUGGGUCAACUGGGGUUUUGCAGUCUCUAUUUUCUUUUGUUAUUACUCGUAUAUGCUCUUUUAUUGGUUUAUCCUACUCUUCUUCUUCGUUGUUUUGCGUCUGCACUUACUGCCAACAGAAAAUUAGAUGCUGUUUAGUAAAGUAAAUUCUGUAUUGCUGUUUAAAUUUUCUGUGAUUAAAUUGAUUCUUGCACCUGUUGCUUCCAUUAUUCCAUCAUUCUAUCUCUUUCUAAGCUCGCGCAAUGGUGUUUUCUCCCUAAUGUUCCGCUGGUAGUACUUAGCAGGGCAUCUUGUUCCACACUCUUGAUAUUUAUUUGCUUCUACAGAUAUUCUACGUAGUGUUUAUUCCACAUUCCGCGUGUUUCUGAUGUCAUGAUGUCUUGUUCUCUGUGACGUUAUGGUGCCUUACGAUGGCUGCAUUUAACGGAUUCUGGAGGAAAAUACUGUGGAUUCAAAUAAUUAAUGAGAAAAAUACCUAUUACAACCUGACUAAAUCAUCUGUGGCCUUUCAAGAUCCUUUUGGCUCUACUCUUUAAGGACUAGCACCAUCACUGAGCCUUUUUUCUGUCUUGUAGCCCAGAGUCAGAGGGCCAGAAUCUCUCCACUAUAGAAUAAUAAGAACAGUGCAUUUCAGAAUACGGACACAUUUCUCAAGAGUCUCUUCACGUUACUGCUUCGAUAAAACGCCACACUCUUGCCUUGCUGCAGCUCGUGUGCUCCUCUGAAGCCUCUUUGUUAGCGUUACCCUUACCUGUUGCCUUAAAAAUGUGUCGGCAGAGGUGCCUCCCCGCCGCGGCUCUCAUGUGAAAAGGUUUGUUUUUUGCAAGCGGGAUUUCACGGGUUGGGAAGAGUCAGUUUGGAUUUUCCCCGUGCCGGAGUAAAAGGGGGAGACAGUGGUGGCGGAGAUCAUGAAAAAGUGUGGGGGGGAAAAAAACAGACGGCGAUAUCUUUUAUGGAGGGCGAGUGUAUCACAGGCAGGGGGCGGCGCGACACCCUAACUCAGGGAGGGAAGGGCGUGAGCUUCCAGUGGGACGGGAGAUGAAAUGUAAAGUUAAAUUAAUCUGU